GACGAACGCUGGCGGCGUGCUUAACACAUGCAAGUCGAGCGGAAAGGCCCUUCGGGGUACUCGAGCGGCGAACGGGUGAGUAACACGUGAGUAAUCUGCCCUUGGCUUUGGGAUAACUACCGGAAACGGUGGCUACUACCGGAUACGACAACCGUCUGCAUGGGCUGGUUGUGGAAAGGUUUUUCGGCCAGGGAUGUGCUCGCGGCCUAUCAGCUUGUUGGUGUGGUAAUGGCCUACCAAGGCUUCGACGGGUAGCCGGCAUGAGCGGGUGAACGGCCACACUGGGACCGAGACACGGCCCAGACUCCUACGUGAGGCAGCAGUGGGGAAGAGUGGACAAUGGGCGGAAGCCUGAUCCAGCAACGCCGCGUGAGGGAUGACGGCCUUCGGGUUGUAAACCUCUUUCAGUACCGACGAAGCGCCGAUGAUGGUGGUGACGGUAGGUACAGAAGAAGCACCGGCCAACUACGUG
rnacentral:rRNA from 1 species